UUAAGUUCAGCGGGUAUCCCUACCUGAUCCGAGGUCAAGUUCGAAGUGGGCUCUUUAUGGACGCUGGUCUCACGCAGGCUCCAGGAAGCGCGAACAGUGCUGCGCGAUUAGGAGGCCCGGCAAGACCGCUGCCAAUGCCUUUGAGGCGAGUCCGCGCGGGCAAGCCGCAGCAGACAGACGCCCAACACCAAGCAGAGCUU
rnacentral:misc_RNA from 1 species